AGCAGGCUCAGCCCUGCCAUUCCUCUGACGGACACGCUUCCAAGUCCGAAGAAGCACCUCGCACCUCAUCCUGCCCUUAGGUGGGAGGGUCAACUGCUGGACAGUCGUCAGGAAACGAUCGUCCAUUUCUCAGGAGGAACCCUCUGGUCUCCUGUAGAGGUAAUCACCUGGCUGUAGGUGGGACAGCACACCUGAGUCUCACUGGCUGGCUGUUGACUUCAAUAAGCCCUGUUUCUGGGUCUGUACUUCAUCUCUACCUUCACUCGUGAUCCUGAGCCUUUCUGAGCUCUGCCUGCAAAUUGAUAUAUCUGACCUCAGUCAUGUCUGCUGGGAUGAGAAUCAGCAGGUUCUAUUGGGGCAGAAUAAUCCUGGAUGCAUCAGAAGGGAUCAGAGAGAUAACAUUGGAGGAGUUGGGUUUUCUGCUUGAGAAAGUGCUGUGAAAAAGUACCUGUCUGCUCAUGACCACGUCUUUUGUCAAUAAGAGCUCCAAUACUUUGGCCACCUGAUGCAAAGAGCCGAUUCAUUGGAGAAGACCCUGAUGCUGGGAAAGAUUGAAGGCAGGAGGAGAAGGGGACGACAGAGGUUGAGAUGGUUGGAGGGCAUCACCGACUCCACGGAUGUGAGUUUGAGCAAACUCCAGGAGGUGGUGAGGGACAGGGAAGCCUGGUGUGCAGCAGUCCAUGGGGUCGCAAAGAGUUGGACACGACUGAGCUACUGAACAACAACAAUACCAGUGCCGCAAUUUGGAAUACAAACUAGAAAUAAAAAAGCACACAUUUAUAACAAUGAAAAUUCUUCAAAAUGAAUGCUUCUGUGUUGACAUGUUGAUGCAGUCAGUAUUGCCACAGAUAAAUAAAACCAGUUGAUGACUGAAA